rnacentral:rRNA from 1 species
UCGGGAAUAUUGCGCAAUGGAGGAAACUCUGACGCAGUGACGCCGCGUGCAGGAAGAAGGUUUUCGGAUUGUAAACUGCUUUAGACAGGGAAGAAAAAGGACAGUACCUGUAGAAUAAGCUCCGGCUAACUACGUGCCAGCAGCCGCGGUAAUACGUAGGGAGCAAGCGUUAUCCGGAUUUAUUGGGUGUAAAGGGUGCGUAGACGGGAAAUCAAGUUGGUUGUGAAAUCCCUCGGCUUAACUGAGGAACUGCAACCAAAACUAAUUUUCUUGAGUGCUGGAGAGGAAAGUGGAAUUCCUAGUGUAGCGGUGAAAUGCGUAGAUAUUAGGAGGAACACCGGUGGCGAAGGCGACUUUCUGGACAGUAACUGACGUUGAGGCACGAAAGUGUGGGGAGCAAACA